rnacentral:pre_miRNA from 1 species
AAAGGAAUAGCUGGGUCAAAUGGUGGUUCCAUUCCCAGAUUUCCAAGGAAUCGCCAUACUGCUUUCCAAAUUGGCUGCACCAAUUUGCAGUCCCACCAUCAGU